AACGAGGAGCCGAACGCGGUUGCUGGCGCCGGGGAGGAGGAUGCGGAGGGGAUGCCCGCGCCGUGCGCCGGCAAGGUUUGCGCCAACUGCCGAACGUCCAAGACGCCGCUGUGGCGUAACGGUCCGUUGGGUCCGAAGACGCUGUGCAACGCGUGCGGAGUGAGGUUCAAGCUGGGCAAGCUCCCGCCCCCAGGCGGCUGGCCCCCCGGGCACGUGCCGCCGCCGGCGCCCCCUCGCAAGCGACCCGCGCUGCUCGACUCGAACGGGCAGCCGGUGAAACGAAGCAAGGCGGAGAAGGGCGCCCUACUUGAGAAGGAUGGGGAGAAGGUGAAGAAGAAGCGACGACCGCGGUUGGCGCCGGACCUCGAGGCUGAGGAGGGUGGGGAGUACCUGAGAGCCGGGAAGGUUGCCAAGACCACCGCGCUGCUGACGGAUUACGACGGCGCCGUGCUCCUGAUGGUCCUCGCCGGCAUGUACUCGCACUGAUCCCAACGUACGUCCCGUGCGUGCGUGCAUUACCGCACAUUACCGCGUGCAACGACGCGCACGGAACGAGCCCUGUUGUACCACAAGCCCAUGUACCUGUACCUCCCAUCCAUCCCUCGAGUUCUCCUCGAGUUCUUCAGGAGGGUGCGAACGCGCUACGACGCGAGACUCGGC
rnacentral:lncRNA from 1 species